GAACGAACGCUGGCGGCAUGCCUAACACAUGCAAGUCGAACGAAGCCUUCGGGCUUAGUGGCGCACGGGUGCGUAACACGUGGGAAUCUGCCCUUCGGUUCGGAAUAACAGUUAGAAAUGACUGCUAAUACCGGAUGAUGACGAAAGUCCAAAGAUUUAUCGCCGAAGGAUGAGCCCGCGUAGGAUUAGGUAGUUGGUAGGGUAAUGGCCUACCAAGCCGACGAUCCUUAGCUGGUCUGAGAGGAUGAUCAGCCACACUGGGACUGAGACACGGCCCAGACUCCUACGGGAGGCAGCAGUGGGGAAUAUUGGACAAUGGGCGAAAGCCUGAUCCAGCAAUGCCGCGUGAGUGAUGAAGGCCUUAGGGUUGUAAAGCUCUUUUACCAGGGAUGAUAAUGACAGUACCUGGAGAAUAAGCUCCGGCUAACUCCGUG
rnacentral:rRNA from 1 species